UACAGAGGUCUCAAGCGUUGUUCGGAUUCAUUGGGCGUAAAGGGUGCGUAGGCGGCGCGGCAAGUCGGGUGUGAAAUCUCGGAGCUUAACUCCGAAACUGCAUUCGAUACUGCCGUGCUUGAGGACUGGAGAGGAGACUGGAAUUUACGGUGUAGCGGUGAAAUGCGUAGAUAUCGUAAGGAAGACCAGUGGCGAAGGCGGGUCUCUGGACAGUUCCUGACGCUGAGGCACGAAGGUCAGGGGAGCAAACGGG
rnacentral:rRNA from 1 species